AACGAACGCUGGCGGCAUGCCUAACACAUGCAAGUCGAACGAGACCUUCGGGUCUAGUGGCGCACGGGUGCGUAACGCGUGGGAACCUGCCCUUAGGUUCGGAAUAACUCCCCGAAAGGGGUGCUAAUACCGGAUAAUGUCUUCGGACCAAAGAUUUAUCGCCUUUGGAUGGGCCCGCGUUGGAUUAGCUAGUUGGUAGGGUAAAAGCCUACCAAGGCGACGAUCCAUAGCUGGUCUGAGAGGAUGAUCAGCCACACUGGGACUGAGACACGGCCCAGACUCCUACGGGAGGCAGCAGUGGGGAAUAUUGGAGCAUGGGCGAAAGCCUGAUCCAGCAAUGCCGCGUGAGUGAGGAAGGCCUUAGGGUUGUAAAGCUCUUUUACCCGGGAUGAUAAUGACAGUACCGGGAGAAUAAGCGCCGGCUAACUCCGUG
rnacentral:rRNA from 1 species